rnacentral:rRNA from 1 species
UACGAAGGGAGCUAGCGUUGUUCGGAAUCACUGGGCGUAAAGCGCACGUAGGCGGAUUUGUCAGUCAGGGGUGAAAUCCCGGGGCUCAACCUCGGAACUGCCUUUGAUACAGCAAGUCUUGAGUUCGAGAGAGGUGGGUGGAAUUCCUAGUGUAGAGGUGAAAUUCGUAGAUAUUAGGAAGAACACCGGUGGCGAAGGCGGUCCACUGGCUCGAUACUGACGCUGAGGUGCGAAAGCGUGGGGAGCAAACAGG